rnacentral:rRNA from 1 species
AGUGAACGCUGGCGGUAGGCCUAACACAUGCAAGUCGAACGGCAGCACAGGAGAGCUUGCUCUCUGGGUGGCGAGUGGCGGACGGGUGAGGAAUACAUCGGAAUCUACCUUUACGUGGGGGAUAACGUAGGGAAACUUACGCUAAUACCGCAUACGACCUACGGGUGAAAGUGGGGGACCGCAAGGCCUCACGCGAUUAGAUGAGCCGAUGUCCGAUUAGCUAGUUGGCGGGGUAAUGGCCCACAAAGGCGACGAUCGGUAGCUGGUCUGAGAGGAUGAUCAGCCACACUGGAACUGAGACACGGUCCAGACUCCUACGGGAGGCAGCAGUGGGGAAUAUUGGACAAUGGGCGCAAGCCUGAUCCAGCCAUACCGCGUGGGUGAAGAAGGCCUUCGGGUUGUAAAGCCCUUUUGUUGGGAAAGAAAUCCUGUCGAUUAAUACUCGGUGGGGAUGACGGUACCCAAAGAAUAAGCACCGGCUAACUUCGUGCCAGCAGCCGCGGUAACAC